AACGAACGCUGGCGGCAUGCCUAACACAUGCAAGUCGAACGAAACCAAGGCUUCGGCCUGAAGUUUAGUGGCGCACGGGUGCGUAACGCGUGGGAAUCUGCCCUUGGGUUCGGAAUAACUCAGAGAAAUUUGAGCUAAUACCGGAUGAUGACGAAAGUCCAAAGAUUUAUCGCCCAAGGAUGAGCCCGCGUAAGAUUAGCUUGUUGGUGAGGUAAAGGCUCACCAAGGCGACGAUCUUUAGCUGGUCUGAGAGGAUGAUCAGCCACACUGGGACUGAGACACGGCCCAGACUCCUACGGGAGGCAGCAGUGGGGAAUAUUGGACAAUGGGCGAAAGCCUGAUCCAGCAAUGCCGCGUGAGUGAUGAAGGCCUUAGGGUUGUAAAGCUCUUUUACCAGGGAUGAUAAUGACAGUACCUGGAGAAUAAGCUCCGGCUAACUCCGUGCCAGCAGCCGCGGUAAU
rnacentral:rRNA from 1 species